GAUACCAUGACUUCCUAAGAAGUCUACACCGUUCUGACGAGCGAGAAGAGGAGAGAAGGAUCAGAAGGGAAAUUUCCAAGGGAAAUACAUGGAGAAUGAGCUCCAGUGAGGGGCGUUAAUGGAGAUAUGGGAGGAAGGACGGCUGGACGGGUGGUUGGACGCGUCGGCGCUGGGUAGAAGGAAUGGUUUUUAUUGUGGGGGCGUGGUGGGAAUUGACGAGAAUGGGCUUUCGGGUUACCAGUUGACGGCAAGGGUCUUGACGCUCGUGUGCGGAUUUGAAAGGCGAGUAGUGCAGUGUUCGGAGUGUUUCCAGGAGGAAUCUUUGGGGAGGUGGUGGCUGCCGCUGGAUGGUGGGCGCGUGUCCGUCGAAUGGGGCACUUGGGAUUGCCGUGAGAGGCUCUUACUCCCGAGGAUCCCCUGCUUCCGGUCCAACAGCGCCUAAUGGAUCGUCCUCCACGGACGUUUUACUGACGUGGCACGUGCAAUUCACGUAAAUGUUGAUUAGGUGGUAAGAAAGUUUUUUUUUAAUUAAACUUAGGAGUGCAAAUAGGU
rnacentral:lncRNA from 1 species